rnacentral:rRNA from 1 species
GCUCGAUGAGUAGGGCGGGACACGUGGUAUCCUGUCUGAAUAUGGGGGGACCAUCCUCCAAGGCUAAAUACUCCUGACUGACCGAUAGUGAACCAGUACCGUGAGGGAAAGGCGAAAAGAACCCCGGCGAGGGGAGUGAAAAAGAACCUGAAACCGUGUACGUACAAGCAGUGGGAGCCUCUUUAUGGGGUGACUGCGUACCUUUUGUAUAAUGGGUCAGCGACUUAUAUUCUGUAGCAAGGUUAACCGAAUAGGGGAGCCGAAGGGAAACCGAGUCUUAACUGGGCGUUAAGUUGCAGGGUAUAGACCCGAAACCCGGUGAUCUAGCCAUGGGCAGGUUGAAGGUUGGGUAACACUAACUGGAGGACCGAACCGACUAAUGUUGAAAAAUUAGCGGAUGACUUGUGGCUGGGGGUGAAAGGCCAAUCAAACCGGGAGAUAGCUGGUUCUCCCCGAAAGCUAUUUAGGUAGCGCCUCGUGAAUUCAUCUCCGGGGGUAGAGCACUGUUUCGGCAAGGGGGUCAUCCCGACUUACCAACCCGAUGCAAACUGCGAAUACCGGAGAAUGUUAUCACGGGAGACACACGGCGGGUGCUAACGUCCGUCGUGAAGAGGGAAACAACCCAGACCGCCAGCUAAGGUCCCAAAGUCAUGGUUAAGUGGGAAACGAUGUGGGAAGGCCCAGACAGCCAGGAUGUUGGCUUAGAAGCAGCCAUCAUUUAAAGAAAGCGUAAUAGCUCACUGGUCGAGUCGGCCUGCGCGGAAGAUGUAACGGGGCUAAACCAUG